rnacentral:rRNA from 1 species
AUGUCUCUUAUUAUGCUGAUCUCAUGGGAAAUUUGGAACGAGAGGAAUGCACACGUCUUCCGUAACACCGCGGUGCCGGUUGGGGUUCUUAUUGCUAGAAUCAAAAAUGUUUCAAAGCUUUGGUGCCUUGCAGGCAGGGGCGGCGCUAGGGGUAUUCUUGGGUCUUCAUGUGAAUACCCAUGA